rnacentral:rRNA from 1 species
CAGGCCUAACACAUGCAAGUCGAACGGUAACAGGAAGAGCUUGCUUCUUUGCUGACGAGUGGCGGACGGGUGAGUAAUGUCUGGGAAACUGCCUGAUGGAGGGGGAUAACUACUGGAAACGGUAGCUAAUACCGCAUAACGUCGCAAGACCAAAGAGGGGGACCUUCGGGCCUCUUGCCAUCGGAUGUGCCCAGAUGGGAUUAGCUGUAGGUGGGGUAACGGCUCACCUAGGCGACGAUCCCUAGCUGGUCUGAGAGGAUGACCAGCCACACUGGAACUGAGACACGGUCCAGACUCCUACGGGAGGCAGCAGUGGGGAAUAUUGCACAAUGGGCGCAAGCCUGAUGCAGCCAUGCCGCGUGUAUGAAGAAGGCCUUCGGGUUGUAAAGUACUUUCAGCGGGGAGGAAGGGAGUAAAGUUAAUACCUUUGCUCAUUGACGUUACCCGCAGAAGAAGCACCGGCUAACUCCGUGCCAGCAGCCGCGGUAAUACGGAGGGUGCAAGCGUUAAUCGGAAUUACUGGGCGUAAAGCGCACGCAGGCGGUUUGUUAAGUCAGAUGUGAAAUCCCCGGGCUCAACCUGGGAACUGCAUCUGAUACUGGCAAGCUUGAGUCUCGUAGAGGGGGGUAGAAUUCCAGGUGUAGCGGUGAAAUGCGUAGAGAUCUGGAGGAAUACCGGUGGCGAAGGCGGCCCCCUGACGAAGAC